rnacentral:rRNA from 1 species
CAGCCGUCACGGGAAUACGAAGGGUGCAAGCGUUACUCGGAGUUACUGGGCGUAAAGCGCGCGUAGGUGGUUUGUUAAGUUGGAUGUGAAAUCCCCGGGCUCAACCUGGGAACUGCAUCCAAAACUGGCAGGCUAGAGUAGGGCAGAGGGUGGUGGAAUUUCCUGUGUAGCGGUGAAAUGCGUAGAUAUGCGGAGGAACACCGAUGGCGAAGGCAAUCCCCUGGGCCUGUACUGACGCUCAUGCACGAAAGCGUGGGGAGCAAACAGGAUUAGAUACCCCAGUAGUCCCUGUCUCUUAUAC